rnacentral:rRNA from 1 species
CAUGCAAGUCGAACGGAAAGGCCCUUUCGGGGGUACACGAGUGGCGAACGGGUGAGUAACACGUGGGUGAUCUGCCCUGCACUUUGGGAUAAGCCUGGGAAACUGGGUCUAAUACCGAAUAGGACUCCGGACUGCAUGGUCUGGGGUGGAAAGCUUUUGCGGUGUGGGAUGGGCCCGCGGCCUAUCAGCUUGUUGGUGGGGUGAUGGCCUACCAAGGCGACGACGGGUAGCCGGCCUGAGAGGGUGACCGGCCACACUGGGACUGAGAUACGGCCCAGACUCCUACGGGAGGCAGCAGUGGGGAAUAUUGCACAAUGGGCGCAAGCCUGAUGCAGCGACGCCGCGUGGGGGAUGACGGCCUUCGGGUUGUAAACCUCUUUCAGCACAGACGAAGCGCAAGUGACGGUAUGUGCAGAAGAAGCACCGGCCAACUACGUGCCAGCAGCCGCGGUAAUACGUAGGUGCGAGCGUUGUCCGGAAUUACUGGGCGUAAAGAGCUCGUAGGUGGUUUGUCGCGUUGUUCGUGAAAACUCACCA